rnacentral:rRNA from 1 species
UACGGAGGGAGCUAGCGUUAUUCGGAAUUACUGGGCGUAAAGCGCACGUAGGCGGCUUUGUAAGUUAGAGGUGAAAGCCUGGAGCUCAACUCCAGAAUUGCCUUUAAGACUGCAUCGCUUGAAUCCAGGAGAGGUGAGUGGAAUUCCGAGUGUAGAGGUGAAAUUCGUAGAUAUUCGGAAGAACACCAGUGGCGAAGGCGGCUCACUGGACUGGUAUUGACGCUGAGGUGCGAAAGCGUGGGGAUCAAACAGG